rnacentral:tRNA from 1 species
GCUCCGGUGGCGGAAUGGUAGACGCAGCGGGCUUAAACCCCGCGGUCCGUUGAGGACAUGUGGGUUCGAUACCCAUCCGGAGUA